UUUUGACUAUUGAUCAAGAUAAUUAUAAUUUGUCGAUGCAUGACUUAUUGCAACAAAUGGGUAUGGACAUUGUUCGACAAGAAGCACCACAAAAGCCUGGGGAACGUAGCAGACUAUGGUGUUAUGAGGAAGCUCUUGAUGUAGUAACUGAAAAUAUGGGUUCAGAUAAAAUUCGAAGCAUAAUAUUGUGGCCUCCUAAAUCAGAACCAGUAGAGGUGCAAAUAAAGGCACAAUUUUGUAAGAUGAAAAAUCUUAGAUUGCUUUUGAUUCGUAAA